GAAGAAGAAUGACUGUUUACUGUUUUGAAAUGGUCUGACAUGAUAAACAUUGCUCUAUUGUAAUCAUAGCACUAGAUUUGAAUUCGUUUUUGUUCUUAAAUAACAUGCUCUGUUUCUGAAUCGCUGUUCAUGACGAUUGAAUGAUGGAUAAAAAGUUAACGUUGGACAAAUUAACAUUUGUCAUAAUAUCACUUCCGAGGCAUUUAGAAGUAUCAAAUCAUCCUAUCACGCCAGAAUACAGGCCUAUAUAACAACUGAGAGUGGUCAAUUUGAACACCUAUAAGACAUGAUAAUAACCUUAUGGUAAGCGACUU